GAAUCCCGACGUCGUUGUUACAGUAUUGAAGAUCGCUGGUCAACCUUGGAUGAAUUAGGCCUUGGCAACGGUGGAGAUUUGUAUCUGGAGAAGAAGAAAUAGAAUUUUCUGGAUCCAGUCAUUGGUGAAACAUAAAUGUCGCAUCUUCUUGUCCUUAGUCUGAUCGCGCUUUUCACCCAUUCAGUUCUUAUAGAUUGAAGCAUUACUAAUUUGGACCACAUUGACAGAAAAAUCAUAGUCAUGGGAAUAUAAUCAUGUGAUUCGGUGAAAACUAUUUUACCUACCUUUGUUCCGGUUUGAAUAAGUAACUAUCAUAGCACUUGAUGUAUAUUUAUUUUCAGCUUGAAUUGUAUUUCACUUUGGAUGGUGUUCUAUUUUUUUAUUAUCCAUUUCAUUGAUUUUGCAUCUA